rnacentral:rRNA from 1 species
GACGAACGCUGGCGGCGUGCUUAACACAUGCAAGUCGAACGAGGCCCUCCCUUCGGGGAGGUGUCCUAGUGGCGAACGGGUGAGUAACACGUGGGCAACCUGCCCUCAGCUCUGGGAUAACUCCAAGAAAUUGGGGCUAAUACCGGAUAUGACCGCUGACCGCAUGGUCUGGUGGUGGAAAGAUUUAUCGGCUGAGGAUGGGCCCGCGGCCUAUCAGCUUGUUGGUGGGGUAGUGGCCUACCAAGGCGACGACGGGUAGCCGGCCUGAGAGGGCGACCGGCCACACUGGGACUGAGACACGGCCCAGACUCCUACGGGAGGCAGCAGUGGGGAAUAUUGCGCAAUGGGCGAAAGCCUGACGCAGCAACGCCGCGUGGGGGAUGAAGGCCUCGG